CUGAAGAUGUUUUUAUUUUUAAAUAUUUUAUUAAAUACAUUAAGGGGGAAAUGAAAUACAUGAAACCAGAAGUUCUUGAGGGAAUAUUAGGAAUUUAUUUUUAACAUUUUUUAUAGCUAUUUUUACAUUUAUAUUUCUCACUAUAUCAAUGACAAAGUUUCAAACACUUAAGAUUGAUCACCAAUCACCCCACUUAUUUAGGAAUGAAAAAAAAUUGGUUUGAAUGUCAGGUUAAUGGAACACUUUUUGGCUGUUUUUCAGAUGAAAUAAAUGACCAGGUCAUUUAAGUUUUGCCAAUUCAUCAUUUGAAUACUCGUAGCCAGAAAUUUAGGCACUGAAGGUGCAAAUCCUAAAGCUAAAUUAAGUUUUCUCUUGUGUGUGGAUUCAGAACUUGACAGCUAUUUAAUAUUGGCGGAAGGACAGAUGAAAAGCGGGCGACACAAAGAUGGUUUACUGUUGGUGCAUGUAGCUUAAAUUCAUACUCAAAUGCUCUUGGUUUGAGCAGAAUUAAAAAGGAGUUUCUCCUAAUCAGCUGAUAGAAUGCCGUUUUCCAGACAUUUAUGCAACAUUUUAAAGUUUAAAUAAAAGAUGUUUAAAUCAGUGGCCACCUCAGGUAUCCUUGACUCUAGUUAAGCCCUUCAGCAAUAUAUUUUCCUGUUAAUAACAAACAAAUCUGUUUUGAUGUCAUUCAGGGUCUAGUUGAAAUUACUCCCCCCACUCCCCAGGUUAUGUGUAGUAUCAAUACCUACAAUUUUGUGUGUGUGUGUAUAGAGAUAGAACUAUAUAGCUACUUUACAAUGUUGUAACAUUUGUAAACUUAAGCUCUGAUGAAAAAUAAUUUAUCACUUUUUUUUAUUAAAGUGAUUAUCAGAGAUGUUCUAUCCAGAGUUUUUUGAUAACAUAACAUUUAUGCAAAAGGUAUUUCAGGAUAUUUUGGUAAUAAAAUUACAUGCUAUUGUGAUAGUGUAAGAUAUUUAAAAUGAUCAAAUGCACCAUUUGUUGGGGAAGUCAAAAUGGAAUCAAGCGAUUAAGCAUGUUUUUGAGAGUUCAAGGGCCCUUUAUACGGAACUGUUUCUACUGAAAGAAGUUACUGCCUAGUACUUGGGUAGUAUUUCCUUGGUCAUAAAUUUUUAUACGUAUUUCUGACAAAAUGAUUUUAUUAUUUUGGUUAAGGACAAUAAAGACAAAACAAUUUGGCCAAGUAUCAUGAGUUUUUCAAGUGAGUCCUCCUUUCUCUCCCCCCCUUCCCGUGCAUUUAAUCUGAGGUGAGGUGUUGAGACUGGAUGAAAUAACUAGGAAAGUCAAGUUCAGACUGCCUUUGAAAGAUGUGAUGGGAAUUUAAACAAUUUUGUUGGUAGCUAUCACGUCAAGUUCUCACCUACUAAGUGAAAAUGUAUGAAUGAUCAAAAAUAGCACUGAAAUCUGUGACCAAAUAAUAUCUUGAAGACUAUUUCUACUGCCCCUUCUAAGUAGAUGAAACAAAAAUUCCCUAGACUAACCCUUGGAGACAAGCUUGAAACCAUACUGUGAAAAGGAAAGUUGAAUAGCAGCUCAUUUUUAGUAGUGAGAAUAUCAGUAACUACUACUGUUAACCAUUUCUGAAUAGGUCCACUGCUAUUUAUAUAAAUGUCAUGCUUUUGUACUUGGCAUCUUUUUAGGAUCAUAGAUCCCUGAGCUGGAAUUUCAGUGACCAUCUUAUCCAACUCCCUGAUUUUAACAAAAAAUUGUCCUGGGAAUAAAGAGACCACCAAAAACUGGCCAUAAUAUAAAAUCAUGAAGACGGCAAGGUUUGAAAUCAGGGGUAUUGUUUAGGGAAUUAGUUACAAGAAACUAAAGUCUCGAGAUGACCUACACAUCUUGAUCAUUUGUUUCAACUGGAAAAAAAAAAUUGUCAUUUUGGAAAAGCUUCUUUCCACAAGAAAGUGUUCUGCAGAGUGGUUGGAGAUUGCAGAGUGGUUGGAGAUUGUUGAAGCAUUAGUAAGAAAAUUAAGCAGCUUCAUGAAAUUUUCUUACUAAGAAUGACCACAUUAUAGGCCACACUAAACACAUUUUUGUACUGUGUAAAAAUACAUCAGUCACCCCCAGUUGGUUAGAUCCUAAUUUUGUGUCCCUACUCCCACAAUGCCCAAAUCUAACUUAUGAGUAACAAAGUGAAACAAUAUAUGGCAAAGUUUGCAAGAGUGUUUUAAAGGCCUGGAACCUUCCUAAACAUGGUAUCUUGUUUUUUCCUCUCUUAAAAGUACCCUGGCCAACUUUUUGAAUAAGUUUUGUUUUUUUUUUUUUUUUUUUUUUUAAGCAUUUCAGCAGCUUCUGGAUUAUGAUACAAACAUGAGCAGAAAUGGGACUAAAAACAUUUGGAAGUGGAAUUGUAGCAUGAAAAUGCUCUUGAGAAAGUAGUUGAUCUACAAUUCACGAAACAUCUGAACUUAAGAUCCACCAUGUGGUUCUUCAGAUGUUCCCAGUUCCAUAAAAUGUAGGCUGCUUAUGGCACAUUCUUAGUAGUACACAAACAACUCUCAUCAGUAAGAUUCAACCACUUGCUGCCUAUUACCACUGUUGAAAUCAAGUGGCAAUUGUAGUUAAGGAAAAAAAAAAUCCCACAUACAACCAGUUGGAUUUAGGGAGGAGAAAUUGGAGGAAAUCAAGAUAUUCAACUGUUCUCAUUAUUAAUAUCAGGUUUCUAGUUCAUAAGGUGCUGAUCAUCAACAUGACUUGUAUUAAAAGGGGGAAAAUUACGUGAUAUAGUAACAAAUACAGGAAACACUGAGGUCAAAACUCGGCAGAGAAAUAAAAAUGGUGUUUAUGUAGCACUAUAUGGGAUCAUAAGUAAUUUGUUAUCAAAUAAAAUCAUUGUUUUAACAUUAGGCAAUGUCAGUUCAGAUGGCAUACCUGAACAAAAUACAAUGAUCUUUGAACAAAAAUUGUGACCUAUUACAGGUCACUGCUUUUUUACUGAAUCAAAUCAUACCAUCAGUUUUCGAAAAGACAAGACAUAUCUAACCCAAUUACUAGUUAUUUCUUAGAAAUUAACUUGUGAACCGUUUUCAUAUAGGAAAAAGAAUUGGCCCACCCUUAGUGACCAGAAGUUAUAUAAAUCUCAAAUAUUCAGUACUCUUAAAGAAAACUAGAUUGUGGUCAGUCAACAAGCAAUUAUUAAGCUAUGAUUUAUUUAUAUAAAUAUAUAUACCAGAAAUCAUCAAGAUCUGGGGUUUUUAAAUUUAGUGUGAUGGACUUCUUAGAAUAUCUAUAAAUACAUGAAAUAAAAUACAUGUGAUGACAAAGGAAACUAAUCACAUUGAAAAGUUGAUAAGAAAAAAAAUUUUCGGGUCCCUAUGUAAAGCACCCUUGAUGUAGAUUGCAGUUUUUGCAUUGUUAUUUUAAUCCAAACCAUUUCCCUUUUAGUGUACUUUUGAAUUCUACUGCUACAACUUUUAAAAGCCUGAAGGGUUUCUAGAUCACUUUGAUAAAAACUAUUUUAGGAAAUAGACAUGACAGUAUCCAAUGAUAUGCCCUCCUGGGAAACUUUGCCUUUUUCUUGUGUUGUAAAAAGAAAAACAUUACCAGCUGACCUAGAAAUAGGUUGGCAAGUGACAGAUCUGUUUUCAAACCCACGUAGAGGCUAAAAAAAAAAAUAUGACAAAUAUAUACAGCUAAAUUCUUAUUCCUCCUCAUAGACCAUCCUCUACUGCUACAAAUAAAGUAAUGAAUAAAAAUUUCCCUGCUUUCGGAUUUUCCCUGGGAACCAGACAGUUCAUCAUAGUAGACUAGAAAAUUAAAACAAAACCAUUGUAUACAUAUAAUUCUUGUUUACAUACCCAGCUGGCUAGCCCUAGUUUAACAGAAUACAUGAAAAAACUCAAAUGAGACAACAGGCAUUUUUGAAAAGCAUGAUUCCCCCAAAUUACAUUUGUUCCAAGGCUAUGGGCAAAGUCUGCCAUCUGAGAAAAAACUGCAUGGCACAACAUUUUAAGGUUUGAAAAGCAUAUAGCAUUUUGGCUAAAUGGAGGUCAAGUAGAUGAGCACAUAUAACCUACAUCCACAGGGCUUUUAUCAGUCAAUUCUGAGACAAGGCAAGGAGAGCCUUGACAACUUUAUGAAUUGGAAUAGUACUGUUCCUACAAGAUGAUUAUGGGUAAUCCAGAAUGGGACAUUCAUCCUUCUAGAUUUUUUUAUUUCAUCUUAGCAGUCAUUUUGUUGUGGGUUUACCAAAUGCAGGAAAUAAUACAAAAUCUGUUAACAUAUCCUAGAGUACCCAAAUAUGAAUUUAAUAUCUAGGGACUAAAAAUAGGUAAGCUAGAUUAUCAUUUUAAAACAUUCUGAAUAACUGAAUUUUAAUAUAGCUCCAUACACGUUUUUGUUUACUGAAUAGAAAUUUGACAUCCUCUUCUUUUUACCUAUAUAAUGCUGAAGAAUAAAGGAGGAAUAUUAAGUAGUUUCAUUCACAUUCUUCCCUGUUAUGGCAAAAACAUCAAUGAAUCUUGCUGAAUUUUAUGAAAGGGAUCAGAAUAAAGGAGGCUGGGAGACAGUAGCAGGUAAUGAUUUUCCCAUCUUCUGUAGCAUCAACUUGGGGUAGCAUGGACUCCAGGAGGCAGCAAUAAAACUAUAGGGAGCAAAAACUAUCACAAAUAUGAUAAAUUUUGUCAUUGCUACCAACCAACCUAUUUUCUCCUUUAUCAUCUUUUCCUUUCCCCUAUUUUUUGCAGGCUCAAUAGGUAACAUUAGAUGUGUGUGUGUGUGUGUGUGUGUACAUACACACACAUCAAACUUAAUUUACUCUUCCCCAGGCUAGAGACCAUGCAAACAUUUUCAUACGUGCAUUAAGUAAAUUUUCUUGGCUUUCAAGACAUAACAUUAUUGAAAAUACCACGUGAAUCAAGGCACUGUUAAAAGCUACAGCCUACCUGGGUUUGGUCUUUUUCCUCCCUUCUGAAGCCCAAUCAUCUCUGACCUCUUUGAAAAAUUUGGCAUGUCAUGAGGUAGUGACCAAUAUUUGCAUAAUAGAAAAUUUAAAGUGUCUUUUAG
rnacentral:lncRNA from 1 species